AGAGAACAAUAACUAGAUUAGAAGUACAUCACUCGCAUCAAUCAUCAAUCAUCAAACCUAUAUACUGCAUAUGACUGCUCCAUGUAACAAUAUCAGGCAACCUUAUAUUUAACUGUAUGUAUAAUACUAUAGUAACAACAGGCGUAGAAACGUAAAGCGACCUGAUGCACUAAAAAAUUAUACAAUUUACUAUGAAAAUAAACAUGCCAACAUAAUUCUUAUGCGGCUGUGACACAUGCAGGCUAACUUAAAACAG